rnacentral:rRNA from 1 species
CUUGGUCAUUUAGAGGAAGUAAAAGUCGUAACAAGGUUUCCGUAGCCUAUUGAAGCCUGACACGGCGACUUGAAAAACAAUCGUGGAGUCUACAUUGAACAAGAUUCAAGUGGGCGAUGCCAAAGAAGUGCUGGGAAUCUUUAACAGGAACGCCAGCAGCCAUCCGGGCCUGUUCAUCCGGGCUGAUGGUUCACAGAUCAAGUAGUGGCAGUCAUGAGCCGAGUAGUCACCGAACUGCUUAAACUUGUGAUGAAGAUAUGACCGGUCAGUGGCUGAACAAGCCAGCUGAGAAACGUUCCGUAGGUGAACCUGCGGAAGGAUCAUUAAAGAGUAAGGGUCUCCGGGCCCGAUCUCCAACCCUUUGUUUAAUCACCAUGUUGCUUUGGCGGGCCCGUCUCACGACCGCCGGAAGUUUGGUCUCAACCAGACUUCUGGCCCGUGCCCGUCAGUGGCCCCUUCAAAUUCUUGAUUAAAUAUGAUGUCUUAGUUAUAAACUUAAUAGUUAAAACUUUCAACAACGGAUCUCUUGGUUCUGGCAUCGAUGAAGAACGCAGCGAAAUGCGAUAAGUAAUGCGAAUUGCAGAAUUCAGUGAGUCAUCGAAUCUUUGAACGCACAUUGCGCCCUUUGGUAUUCCGAAGGGCAUGCCUGUUCGAGCGUCAUUAUCAACCCUCAAGCCUGGCUUGCUGUUGGACCUCUCGUCGUUAAAGACGGGUCCUAAAGUUAAUGGCGGAGUCAUCGGACCCCAGAUGCAACGAGCUCUCGUAGCACGCAUUUAAGGGGCUGGCGGCUCUAGUCUCAACCCACAUCAUUUACAAGGUUGACCUCGGAUCAGGUAGGAAUACCCGCUGAACUUAAGCAUAUCAAUAAGCGGAGGA